rnacentral:siRNA from 1 species
UAGAAAUGGGAUAUACAUAUAU